UGCAGCGAUCGCACGAGGGCCAAGCCAUGGCCAUUUCCAUUUCAACAACCCAGAAAAACAAACAAACAAACAAACCCACACACAAAUUCAUCGUUUCCUUUCAAUCUCCAUACCCCACUUCCAAAACCAACUCUCCCUCACAAUUGGCCUCCAAAUUCCAAAUACCAAAUACCCACCAACCCAUUUCAAUUCCUCGAGCGGCGCAGACAGAGGAGUGAAGCUGACACAGACCACACAGACCCACAGAAGAGAGAGACAGAGAAAUCGAAAUAAAUAGUAGCGGCGCCGGCCUUUUAGGGUUUAUCGAUUGUCUUCGCUUCCACGUUCUACCAGUGUGUGUUUGAGUGUUUCUUAAGGCGUUCGAAGGCUCUAGAAACUCCACGGACUUGAGCGAGAGAUGGGGAGGCCUCGCUGCUUUUUGGAUAUCGGUAUUGGAGGUGAUCUUGAGGGCAGAAUUGUGGUGGAGCUCUACGACGAUGUGGUGCCCAGAACCGCUGAGAAUUUCAGGGCUCUUUGCACCGGCGAGAAGGGCAUUGGAACCCAUACGGGCGUUCCCCUUCAUUUCAAGGGGUCGUGUUUCCACCGUGUCAUAAAGGGAUUUAUGGUACAAGGUGGAGAUAUUUCUGCUGGAGAUGGUACUGGCGGAGAGUCUAUAUAUGGCAUGAAAUUCGAUGAUGAGAAUUUUGAGCUGAAACAUGAAAGGAAAGGAAUGUUGUCUAUGGCUAAUUCUGGUCCCAACACAAAUGGGUCCCAAUUUUUCAUUAGUACUACUCGCACUUCUCAUUUAGAUGGAAAACAUGUAGUGUUUGGGAGGGUAGUGAAAGGAAUGGGUGUUGUUCGUUCAAUUGAGCACGUUACGACUGGUGACAGCGACCGCCCUACUGUUGAUGUCAUUAUCGUGGAUUGUGGUGAAAUUCCCGAGGGAGAAGAUGAUGGGAUUUCAAACUUUUUCAACGAUGGGGAUACAUUUCCUGAUUGGCCGGCUGACCUAGAACAGAGCCCUAAUGAACUUGACUGGUGGGUGAAUGCAGUCGAUUCUGUAAAAGUUUUUGGUAAUGAGCAUUACAAGAAGCAAGACUAUAAGAUGGCUCUCAGAAAGUACCGGAAGGCUUUACGCUACCUCGACAUCUGCUGGGAAAAAGAAGGAAUCGAUGAAGAGAAGAGUGCAAAUCUUAGAAAGACCAAAUCACAGAUAUUCACAAACAGUUCAGCUUGUAAGUUGAAGUUAGGGGAUCUGAAAGGAGCAUUGUUGGACACUGAUUUUGCAAUGCGUGAUGGAGACGACAAUGUAAAAGCUUUGUUUCGCCAAGGUCAGGCAUACAUGGCUCUUAAUGACAUUGAUUCUGCUGUCGAAAGUUUCAAAAAGGCAUUGGAUCUGGCUCCAAAUGAUGCUGGAAUAAAGAAAGAACUUGCUGCAGCGAGAAAAAAGAUUACCGAUAGACGCAAUCAAGAGCGGAAAGCAUAUAGCAAGAUGUUCCAGUAGCCGUGAUUGGUAUGCCGUGGGGUUCUUCAGAUUUUUGCUUGUUUGUUGUGUGUCAAUCAAGGUUUAUGCAGUGCUACAUUUCAUACACGACGAGUUUCACCUGCACAAGAUCGAUCGAUAUUUGAUGACAGAGGAUCGGUCGUGCACCGAUGUUUUAAACUGGAAGAUGUUAUAGUAUAAGUGUACUGAGGCUGGAUGAAACACUCCAUUCAAACAAUUUUGUGAAGAAGAAAUGCCUGUGAGGUUAAAAUAUACAUUAUUUGUUAAUUUUUGAUGUCAUUCUGGAUGUUACACAAAGAAAACUUGAGGAUGAUUUGAAUUUUCAAAUAAUUAUUUCCGGACAGGUUUAUGCUUGA